rnacentral:pre_miRNA from 1 species
GAGACACCGUUUUGGGGCAAGACUUGCUUCAGUGGGGCUUUGGUGCUCACUGAGUCUGCCCCCUGAGCGUGUCCGU